rnacentral:lncRNA from 1 species
CUGCUUAAAACAUGUUAUAGUGAAAACAAAAAGCAAGUAUAUGAAUCUGUAUCUAUCUAUAUCAUAUUAAAGAGUUAAAUUAUUUUUCUAUUUGUCUUUUUUUUACUUUCGAAAAUGUCUUGCUUCUCUUCUUAUUCAUAUUUGACCUGGUGGACACAUGACUCGUGCUCAUAUGAGCUAGAACAACAUGCGUUUAUGCAUCUAAUGAUGGUAUGAUGAAGUCCGGUUUCAAUACAUAUUUGAAUUGAACAGAUGAUAUGACCCUACAUAAAUCUUCGAGUUAAGUCAUUCAGGUGACCGCGCAACAAGAUUUAUGUUCCGUUGUAACACAUGGUUAGUCUGAUAGUUCAUACAUAUGUCGAAGUGGAGAGAGUACUAAAAGCAGUAAUGGGCAA